rnacentral:lncRNA from 1 species
AUGCUCUGAAUGAAAAUAAUCGUUGCUAGCUUGAUCUGCAUGCCAUAACCAAAAAUCGGUUAGUCUCUAGGCCGUGCACGAAUACUACUCCCCUCUAUAAAUAGAGAGGCAUGGGGACCCCUAAGGUAAGCUUUAAAAAAUUAUUCUCUUCUUCUUCUUAUUCUACAUCUUCUAACUUUAGCAUUGGAGGGUCCUCCCUGAAAAAUACCUCGAUUAGGGUAUUUUGUAGGUCUUUACUCAACCCUCGA